rnacentral:rRNA from 1 species
CGCGUAGGCGGUUAUAUAAGUUAGGUGUGAAAUCCCCGGGCUUAACCUGGGAAUGGCAUUUAAUACUGUAUGACUAGAGUAGAGUAGAGGGAAGUGGAAUUUCCGGUGUAGCGGUGAAAUGCGUAGAUAUCGGAAAGAACACCAGUGGCGAAGGCGGCUUCCUGGACUCAUACUGACGUUGAGGCGCGAAAGCGUGGGUAGCAAACAGGAUUAGAUACCCUGGUAGUCCAUGCUGUGAACGAUGAAAACUAGAUGUUGGAGGGUUAAACUCUUCAGUAUCGAAGCUAACGCGAUAAGUUUUCCGCCUGGGGAGUACGGCCGCAAGGCUAAA